UUGACAUUGCUGCUGCAAAAUGUGCUCAGGUCAUGGUGCUUUCCAAAUUGGCUGAGACUCCACGCCACCACCCCCCUCCCCUGCUCCUUUACCCAGGCAGCUCCGUGCCCCUGCCAGCCUCAGCUUCUGCAGCUCCCUCUGAGGGCCUCCGAAAAGAGGAAGCGAGACGUGUAUUAAACUCUUCAAUCUCUGUAAGUACCAUUUCCCAGGAGACCCGCUCUGAGGAAGAAGGAAACGCCAGUGCUCAGGACCUAAACAUGUAGGAGGCGGUGGGGGACCCCAUGCCUUCAUGUCACCUCUCCUCUCCCCCCAAUCUCAGGGUUGGGGGGGGCAGUCAUGGACAAGACAAUGAUGACCUCUGAGUGGCAGCAUCCAGGUGACCACUCACCACUUCAGCCAGAGAGAGAAUCAAGAGAUAAUCACCAAGAUCUGAGCCUCAGAGGUACUGAAGUCCCUGACCCCUCGUCUCGCCUGCCACCAGGAGAGUCUCUCACUGUUUUAUCUGUGGCAUUUAAAGUGCCACCAAGCGUCUGGCACUUAGAGAGUUGAAGAAGCUGUGCAACUGGCAGAAGCAAAGCUCCCCAGGAACAGUGUUUGCCAAAUGCUAGUUUGAAGACAAGGGGAGCCUGCGACUCCGAUUUCAACGAUUUGCAAAGAAACAUUAAUGUAGUGAGCUUUUCAUUAAGCCAAAUUUAUUCAAUCUAAAGAUAAUCCCUUAUUCUGAAAUUGCAUCCUCUCAUUUGGUUGUAGGAAGGAGAGGGUGUUCUAAAAAGAUAUUUAUUGUAUGAACUCAUGAUAGUGGUGCCUAGCUGGUGCUAUUUCUCAGUUGGCCAAAGAACAUACUGGCAACCCAAGGAAGGACCUCCAAAUUAUUUUUGGAAUUUUACUACUCUGUGGGGUUUCAAAAGUCUAGGAAUGAUGGUUUGUGGAGAGAGUCUGGCAACACAAUCCUAGACCUGACACAGCCCUACUCAGGCCGAGGGGCUGCUUAGGUGUGCCAGUCCCCCUCUGCAGUCCUCUUCCCCUUUAUUACCUAUCUCUCCAUUAUUUGCAGGCAAUUAUCUGCCAUAACUAGCCAAUUACCCUUAAAGACAAUUACACUCUUCCAUCAGCAAACCCUGAUGUUCUUUUCUUGGGUCUUUUAAUGAAGCCAAUAUUAAGGGGAUGCUUUAUUUACAUAAAGUCAAAUGGCUCCCUUUUAUGAGGGUUUGGGUUCAAUGUCAAAGUUUUAAAAUCUUAACUACAGAAUGGGUGUUUGGGGCUCCUGGUUGGCAUAGAGAGAGUUGGAAGGACUCUCCCUCCCCCCCCCAAGAUGCUUUAAAAGGUAGAUUGCCCAGGAGAGCAGUAGUGUAUCCCCCCCACCCCUCAGCUAAUGAGAUCUGAAAGUGCAGAUGCUGUGGGCUCAGAGCUGUGAGUGAAAUCAUUCAGAAGUGCAGGGCUCUGACUGACCACAGCUCCAACACUCCCCGCCCCCAGCCACCUCUGGGGACCUCCAGAGUUAAUGGCUUCAGGGAGCUAGAUUGAAAUAUGCACCUCACCCUCGACUUCUCAGAAAAGCUUUAUGCUAGGUGAAGGCUGACCCAGACUGAAUGUGGCAUCUGCCAAUCGGGGCCAAAGGUGCUGGUGGAGGCAAGAUCUAGGCCUACAGAAAUAACUCCAUUGUGGUCUUUGUAUGCAAAAAGCAGGGGGAAAGUCUAUAAUUUUUACUUCUGGGCCACUGCCCCUGUCUUUAUGCUGUGGGCCUUACCUAGUGACUAUUUGUACUUGAUUUCUCUUGGGCAA